CCCUUAGAUGUUCUGGGCCGCACGCGCGCUACACUGAUUCAUGCAACAAGUUUUGUCCUUGGCUGAUAGGCCUGGGUAAUCUUUGAACGUGAAUCGUGAUGGGGAUAGAUGAUUGCAAUUAUUCAUCUUCAACGAGGAAUUCCUAGUAAACGCAAGUCAUCAGCUUGCAUUGAUUACGUCCCUGCCCUUUGUACACACCGCCCGUCGACUCUACCGAUUGAAUGGUUCGGUGAAAACUUUGGACUGUGGCAUUGUCCUUCAUUGGACUUCGCCGUAGGAAAUUGUUUAAACCUCAUCAUUUAGAGGAAGAAUAAGUCGUAACA
rnacentral:rRNA from 1 species